rnacentral:lncRNA from 1 species
AUGUGACAGCAGGGUUAAUGUGUCCACCAGAAAUACCAGCAGUGCAAUAAACAAGUACGAAUAUCAUACCCCCAAAGGCCCAAGCAAUUCCAAGAAUGCCAACACCACCACAUUGGUCAGUGGCACUUUGGCUCUUGUAGCCAAUUACAGUAAGGACAGUGAUAUAGAGGAAUAACAAUGUGGCGAUGAAUUCAGCAAUAAUAGCUCUAUAAAAAGACCAUUUACCAAGUUCUUCAGGAUCAAUUAAGGGUGCUGGAGGUGGAUCUUGGUAGUCCUUUGGUGCAUAUUCAGUGCCAACUUCAACGUCUUUAGGCAUCUUUAAGCAAGAAAUU